GAUGAACGCUAGCUACAGGCUUAACACAUGCAAGUCGAGGGCAGCGGGUUGAAAGCUUGCUUUCAAUGCCGGCGACCGGCGCACGGGUGCGUAACGCGGUAUCAAACCUGCCUCAUACUCGGGGAUAGCCUUGCGAAAGUAAGAUUAAUACCCGAUGUUGUUGCUUUCUCGCAUGGGAGAGUAACCAAAGAUUCAUCGGUAUGAGAUGGUGAUGCGUCCGAUUAGGUAGUAGGCGGGGUAACGGCCCACCUAGCCUUCGAUCGGUAGGGGUUCUGAGAGGAAGGUCCCCCACACUGGAACUGAGACACGGUCCAGACUCCUACGGGAGGCAGCAGUGAGGAAUAUUGGUCAAUGGGCGAGAGCCUGAACCAGCCAAGUAGCGUGCAGGAUGACGGCCCUCCGGGUUGUAAACUGCUUUUAGUUGGGAAUAAAAAAGGGGACUUGUCCCUUCUUGUAUGUACCUUCAGAAAAAGGGCG
rnacentral:rRNA from 2 species